rnacentral:rRNA from 1 species
UACGUAGGAGGCAAGCGUUGUCCGGAAUUACUGGGCGUAAAGCGCGUGUAGGUGGUGGGACAAGUCUGCUGUGAAAGCGCCUGGCUUAACCGGGCGAGGUCGGCGGAAACUGUCCGACUCGAGGACGGUAGAGGGGGGUGGAAUUCCCGGUGUAGUGGUGAAAUGCGUAGAUAUCGGGAGGAACACCUGUGGCGAAAGCGGCUCACUGGACCACAACUGACGCUGAGGCGCGAAAGCUAGGGGAGCAAACAGG